rnacentral:rRNA from 1 species
GACGAACGCUGGCGGCGUGCUUAACACAUGCAAGUCGAACGGUGAAGGGACCAGCUUGCUGGUUCUGGAUGAGUGGCGAACGGGUGAGUAACACGUGAGUAACCUGCCCCCUUCUUCUGGAUAACCGCAUGAAAGUGUGGCUAAUACGGGAUAUUCUGGGUCUGUCGCAUGGCGGGCCCGGGAAAGAUAUUGCUUCGGUGGGGGAUGGGCUCGCGGCCUAUCAGCUUGUUGGUGGGGUGAUGGCCUACCAAGGCGGUGACGGGUAGCCGGCCUGAGAGGGUGGACGGUCACACUGGGACUGAGACACGGCCCAGACUCCUACGGGAGGCAGCAGUGGGGAAUAUUGCACAAUGGGCGCAAGCCUGAUGCAGCGACGCCGCGUGAGGGAUGGAGGCCUUCGGGUUGUAAACCCCUUUCGCCAGUGAAGCAGGCCUGCUCCUUGUGGGUGGGUUGACGGUAGCUGGAUAAGAAGCGCCGGCUAACUACGUG